AACGAACGCUGGCGGCAGGCUUAACACAUGCAAGUCGAACGCAUCCUUCGGGGUGAGUGGCAGACGGGUGAGUAACGCGUGGGAAUCUACCCAUCUCUGCGGAAUAGCUCCGGGAAACUGGAAUUAAUACCGCAUACGCCCUACGGGGGAAAGAUUUAUCGGGGAUGGAUGAGCCCGCGUUGGAUUAGCUAGUUGGUGGGGUAAAGGCCUACCAAGGCGACGAUCCAUAGCUGGUCUGAGAGGAUGAUCAGCCACAUUGGGACUGAGACACGGCCCAAACUCCUACGGGAGGCAGCAGUGGGGAAUAUUGGACAAUGGGCGCAAGCCUGAUCCAGCCAUGCCGCGUGAGUGAUGAAGGCCUUAGGGUUGUAAAGCUCUUUCACCGAUGAAGAUAAUGACGGUAGUCGGAGAAGAAGCCCCGGCUAACUUCGUGCCAGCAGCCGCCGUAA
rnacentral:rRNA from 1 species